AAAAACCCAGCCACCACACACGCCGAUUUGCAUAACCUGCAGCCGCACCUCUCUCUCUCUCUCUCUCUCUCUCUCUCUCUCUCUCUCUCUCUCUCCAUGUAUGGAGAAUGGAAACAAGAUGAAGGGCAGGAUAAGUAAUGGCAGCCCACAAAUUGCACAGCACUUGAGGUGAAUAAAAUUUGAAGGCUAAUUAGCAUUACCUUUUGCAAAUACAUUAACUCUCCAUCAAUAAAUAAAUAACGAAAACAGAUGUAAGCUUGCCACUGCAUUGUGCCAAAUUCCAGCACAAUAAAUUCGAACAGCAGCAAAGCAAGACAAUGGUUGCAGAGACUCAGAAUCAAAAGCCACCAGAGCACCAGGAAACAGAACGCAACAAACUCGACAACAUACUCCAUUUGCACUCACUCAAUGCUUUCAAUCAAGCCUACGUUUUGCUUCACAAUAAUCAUGCUAUGAGAAUUUGGGAGUGGGUUCUGCCGAAAUGGAAGAAGGGUUGGUUGAAAGCCCAGAACUUGAAAUCGCAGUAGCAGCAAGAGAUGGUGGUAGAGAGACGAGAAGGCGAACAUGGGUUUGAUUUGAGUGCGAGUGAAUGGGUAGAAGACUGUGAUGGGUUUGAGUUAGAUUUUUUUGUGGAAGCCAUGGAAGCCACUGUGCGUGCUUACAAA
rnacentral:lncRNA from 1 species